UACGGAGGGUGCAAGCGUUGUCCGGAAUCACUGGGCGUAAAGGGCGCGUAGGCGGCUCAUGAAGGCUGUGGUGAAAGUCCGGGGCUCAACCUCGGAUCGGCCGUGGCGACUCGUGGGCUGGAGCACUGUAGAGGCGGGUGGAAAUCCGGGUGUAGCGGUGGAAUGCGUAGAGAUUCGGAAGAACACCAGUGGCGAAGGCGGCCCGCUGGGCAGUGGCUGACGCUGAGGCGCGACAGCGUGGGGAGCAAACAGG
rnacentral:rRNA from 1 species